rnacentral:snRNA from 1 species
GCUUGCUUCAGCAGCGUGUACUAAAAUUGUAAUGUUAAAGAAGAUGAGCAUGAUCUUUGCUCAAGAAUAACAUGGAAAUUCAUGAAGUGUUCCAUAUUUUU